GUGGGGAAUUUUGGACAAUGGGCGCAAGCCUGAUCCAGCAAUGCCGCGUGUGUGAAGAAGGCCUUCGGGUUGUAAAGCACUUUUGUCCGGAAAGAAAUCUCCUGGGUUAAUACCUCGGGGGGAUGACGGUACCGGAAGAAUAAGCACCGGCUAACUACGUGCCAGCAGCCGCGGUAAUACGUAGGGUGCGAGCGUUAAUCGGAAUUACUGGGCGUAAAGCGUGCGCAGGCGGCUAUGCAAGACAGAUGUGAAAUCCCCGGGCUCAACCUGGGAACUGCAUUUGUGACUGCAUGGAUAGAGUGCGUCAGAGGGAGGUGGAAUUCCGCGUGUAGCAGUGAAAUGCGUAGAGAUGCGGAGGAACACCGAUGGCGAAGGCAGCCUCCUGGGAUGACACUGACGCUCAUGCACGAAAGCGUGGGGAGCAAACAGGAUUAGAAACCCCGGUAGUCC
rnacentral:rRNA from 1 species